rnacentral:rRNA from 1 species
GGGAAACCGCCUGAUGGAGGGGGAUAACUACUGGAAACGGUAGCUAAUACCGCAUAACCUCGCAAGAGCAAAGAGGGGGACCUUCGGGCCUCUCGCCAUCAGAUGUGCCCAGAUGGGAUUAGCUAGUAGGUGAGGUAAUGGCUCACCUAGGCGACGAUCCCUAGCUGGUCUGAGAGGAUGACCAGCCACACUGGAACUGAGACACGGUCCAGACCCCUACGGGAGGCAGCAGUGGGGAAUAUUGCACAAUGGGCGCAAGCCUGAUGCAGCCAUGCCGCGUGUGUGAAGAAGGCCUUCGGGUUGUAAAGCACUUUCAGCGAGGAGGAAGGCGGUAAGGUUAAUAACCUUAUCGAUUGACGUUACUCGCAGAAGAAGCACCGGCUAACUCCGUGCCAGCAGCCGCGGUAAUACGGAGGGUGCAAGCGUUAAUCGGAAUGACUGGGCGUAAAGCGCACGCAGGCGGUCUGUUAAGUUGGAUGUGAAAUCCCCGGGCUUAACCUGGGAACUGCAUUCAAAACUGACAGGCUAGAGUCUUGUAGAGGGGGGUAGAAUUCCAGGU